GAUGAACGCUGGCGGCGUGCUUAACACAUGCAAGUCGAACGGGUCUGCCCUGUUUUUUGCGGGGUGGGUCAGUGGCGAACGGGUGAGUAACACGUGAGUAACCUGCCCCUCACUUCUGGAUAACCGCUUGAAAGGGUGGCUAAUACGGGGUGUUCUGGCUGUGCCGCAUGGUGUGGCUGGGAAAGAUUCACUUUUGUGGUGUUUUGGUGGGGGAUGGGCUCGCGGCCUAUCAGCUUGUUGGUGGGGUGAUGGCCUGCCAAGGCUUUGACGGGUAGCCGGCCUGAGAGGGUGGGCGGUCACACUGGGACUGAGAUACGGCCCAGACUCCUGCGGGAGGCAGCAGUGGGGGGUAUUGCACAAUGGGCGGAAGCCUGAUGCAGCGACGUCGCGUGAGGGAUGGAGGCCUUCGGGUUGUGAACCUCUUUCGCCGGUGAAGAAGGUCCUGCUCUUUGUGGUGGGGUUGACGGUAGCCGGGUUAUGAAGCGCCGGCUAACUACGUG
rnacentral:rRNA from 1 species